rnacentral:rRNA from 1 species
UACGGAGGGUGCAAACGUUGCUCGGAAUUAUUGGGCGUAAAGCGCACGUAGGCGGUCUAGCAAGUCGGGUGUGAAAGCCCUCAGCUUAACUGAGGAAGUGCAUUCGAAACUACUAGGCUUGAGUACUGAAGAGGACGACGGAAUUCCCGGUGUAGAGGUGAAAUUCGUAGAUAUCGAGAGGAACACCGGUGGCGAAGGCGGCCAACUGGACGAAUACUGACGCUGAGACUCGAAAGCGUGGGGAGCAAACAGG